rnacentral:rRNA from 1 species
AACCAGCACCUCAAGUGGUCAGGAUGAUUAUUGGGCCUAAAGCAUCCGUAGCCUGCUCUGUUAGUUUUCGGUUAAAUCCAUGUGCUCAACACAUGGGCUGCCGAAAAUACUGCAGAGCUAGGGAGUGGGAGAGGUAGACGGUACUCAGUAGGAAGGGGUAAAAUCCUUUGAUCUAUUGAUGACCACCUGUGGCGAAGGCGGUCUACCAGAACACGUUCGACGGUGAGGGAUGAAAGCUGGGGGAGCAAACCGG